rnacentral:rRNA from 1 species
GACAGAGGGUGCAAACGUUGUUCGGAAUCACUGGGCUUAAAGGGCGCGUAGGCGGUCCGCCAAGUCAGGGGUGAAAUCCUGCAGCUUAACUGUAGAAGUGCCUCUGAUACUGGCGGUCUUGAGGGAAAUAGGGGUGUGCGGAACUUCCAGUGGAGCGGUGAAAUGCGUUGAUAUUGGAAGGAACGCCGGAGGCGAAAGCGGCGCACUGGAUUUCUUCUGACGCUGAGGCGCGAAAGCUAGGGGAGCAAACGGG